UACGUAGGGGCCUAGCGUUGUCCGGAAUUAUUGGGCGUAAAGAGCUCGUAGGCGGUUCGGCAAGUCGGAUGUGAAAUCUCCGCGCUUAACGUGGAGGGGCCAUUCGAAACUGCUGUGACUCGAGUACGGUAGAGGAAGGUGGAAUUCCCGGUGUAGCAGUGAAAUGCGUAGAUAUCGGGAGGAACACCAGUGGCGAAGGCGGCCUUCUGGACCAGUACUGACGCUCAUGCACGAAAGCGUGGGGAGCAAACAGG
rnacentral:rRNA from 1 species